AUUCCAGCUCCAAUAGCGUAUAUUAAAGUUGUUGCAGUUAAAAAGCUCGUAGUUGGAUGUGUGGUGGCUCGUGCGGUCCAAAAUGUUUUGGUGCUGUGUUGAGCUGCCAUCCUUGGGUGGAACCUGUGGGGCAUUAGGUUGUUCUGCAGGGGAUGCCCAUCGUUUACUGUGAAAAAAUUAGAGUGUUCAAAGCAGGCUUACGCCGUUGAAUAUAUUAGCAUGGAAUAAUGAGAUAGGACUUUGGUGCUAUUUUGUUGGUUUGCGCGCCGAAGUAAUGAUUAAUAGGGACAGUUGGGGGUAUUCGUAUUCCAUUGUCAGAGGUGAAAUUCUUGGAUUUCUGGAAGACGAACUACUGCGAAAGCAUUUACCAAGGAUGUU
rnacentral:rRNA from 1 species